GAGGAAUAUUGGUCAAUGGGCGUAAGUCUGAACCAGCCAAGUAGCGUGCAGGAUGACGGCCCUAUGGGUUGCAAACUGCUUUUAUGUGGGAAUAAAGUGGCGCACGUGUGCGCCAUUGCAUGUACCUCAUGAAUAAGGACCGGCUAAUUCCGUGCCAGCAGCCGCGGUAAUACGGAAGGUCCGGGCGUUAUCCGGAUUUAUUGGGUUUAAAGGGAGUGUAGGCGGUCUGUUAAGCGUGUUGUGAAAUUUAGGUGCUCAACAUUUAACUUGCAGCGCGAACUGUCAGACUUGAGUACACGCAGCGCAGGCGGAAUUCAUGGUGUAGCGGUGAAAUGCUUAGAUAUCAUGAGGAACUCCGAUCGCGAAGGCAGCCUGCGGGAGUGUUACUGACGCUUAAGCUCGAAGGUGCGGGUAUCGAACAGGAUUAGAUACCCUGGUAGUCCGCACUGUAAACGAUGGAUGCCCGCCGUUGGCGCCCUGCGCCUGCGGCCAAGCGAAAGCAUUAAGCAUCCCACCUGGGGAGUACGCCGGCAACGGUG
rnacentral:rRNA from 1 species